rnacentral:misc_RNA from 1 species
AUAGGUAAAAUCCACCAUGUCAAUAUGGUUCGCUUGAUUGGAUUCUAUGCUGACGGGUUUAGAAGAGCACUGCUUUAUGAGUACCCGCCAAAUGAUUUUCUACAGAGCUGGUGCCACUAAUCCACUUACAUCUUGAAGAGUCGGGGCUUCUCCUUGUGCCUCAAUCUCCACUGAUUGUUCUACAGAACAAUCCCCUUCUUCCAUAAUCUAUCAGAGAGUAUUCUAUCUCUUGAACAAAUAACACAAGGAGAUUUUCCUCCGUUAGUUCAUAUUUAU